rnacentral:rRNA from 1 species
AUUGAACGCUGGCGGCAUGCUUUACACAUGCAAGUCGAACGGUAACAGGCCGCAAGGUGCUGACGAGUGGCGAACGGGUGAGUAAUGCAUCGGAACGUGCCCAGUCGUGGGGGAUAACGCAGCGAAAGCUGCGCUAAUACCGCAUACGAUCUAUGGAUGAAAGCGGGGACCGUAAGGCCUCGCGCGAUUGGAGCGGCCGAUGUCAGAUUAGGUAGUUGGUGGGGUAAAGGCUCACCAAGCCGACGAUCUGUAGCUGGUCUGAGAGGACGACCAGCCACACCGGGACUGAGACGCGGCCCAGACUCCUACGGGAGGCAGCAGUGGGGAAUUUUGGACAAUGGGGGCAACCCUGAUCCAGCAAUGCCGCGUGCAGGAAGAAGGCCUUCGGGUUGUAAACUGCUUUUGUACGGAACGAAACGGCUCUGGUUAAUACCUGGGGCUAAUGACGGUACCGUAAGAAUAAGCACCGGCUAACUACGUGCCAGCCGCCGCGGUAA